GCCAGCCCGCUCAGAAACUUAAAGGAAGUUGACGGGGGCCCGCGACAAGCGGUGGAGUAUGUGGUUUAAUUCGAUGCAACGCGAAGAACCUUACCUGGUCUUGACAUCCCGGAGACCCUUAGGAAACUAGGGGGUGCUUCCAUCUGGAAGAAUCUGGAGACAGGUGCUGCAUGGCUGUCGUCAGCUCGUGUCGUGAGGUGUCGGGUUAAGUCCCAUAACGAGCGCAACCCCUACCUUUAGUUGCCAUCAGGUUAAGCUGGGGACUCUAAAGGAACUGCCUACGCAAGUAGUGAGGAAGGCGGGGAUGACGUCAAAUCAGCACGGCCCUUACGUCCAGGGCUACACACGUGCUACAAUGGCCGAUACAGAGGGCAGCUACCUGGUGACAGGAUGCAAAUCUCCAAAGUCGGUCUCAGUUCGGAUCGGAGUCUGCAACCCGACUCCGUGAAGUUGGAUUCGCUAGUAAUCGCGCAUCAGCCAUGGCGCGGUGAAUACGUUCCCGGGCCUU
rnacentral:rRNA from 1 species